AGUUCUGCAAGGUUCGCCACCCAUCAAAGUAGUUGGUAAAAACACCUGUCAUAGUUGGCAAAACCAGUUUGUUCUUCAAAUUCUUCCACUACCCACUUCGCAUCUACCUCCACGAUGAGUUUGAUGAUACCCAAACGUUUUGCUAAUUGGAUCCUUUGCAUAAUCCCCCCAAAGUUCAGCAUUUUCGCAGGUUGAUUCUUCCAAUUUUAUCAUAAAUCCUCCAAUCCAUUCUCCGUUCACAUCCCUAAUUAACUCAACUGUUGUCGAUUUCCCUAAAUCAGUGUGGGUGUUGAGAAUCCAGGUACCCAAAGGCGAUUUUCUCCAAUUAAUCUAGAGAGGCUCUAUUAUGUUAUUCCUAGCUUUAGAUUCUUUGGCUAGUUUGAUAUCUUUUGCAAAAGAGAGGUUGUACUUCAUCACCAUAUUAAUAUCCUCUUCCUUAUUUCUGAAGACUAAGGUAUUUCUGUUCUUCCAUGCCAAAUGGUGGUCAUAAAGAUCGUUCCCUAGUCUAUUCCUUCGAAGGAGAUUUUCUUUGACUUACUGUUUUCUUUCAUCCAUUCAAGGAAUGAAGCUUCAUUAUACUGAUGAUUGUAAAUUCUAACUUGAUUCUUCUCCCAAACUGUCACUGUUGUAGGACAAAAUCUCAGCACAUGUUCGAUUGUUUCCAAGAUCCAAUUGACAUGCUUUGCCUGGUCUUCCGUGUUUGAGAAAUCCAUAAUGGUCUUAUAAACCGUGCCAACUGAGAAUCUUCCAUCUUUCAAAUUUGCCCAUAAAGCAUCCUCCAGCUACAUUUAGUGAGCAUCGCUAAGCUUAUAUCACCGGCGAACUCGGUGUAGCAGAAGGCGAAGAGGAGGGCGCAGAGUCCGGUAAUGGCGUAAGAGGUAACAACAACAGGGUUGGUGUAGAGGUGAGUAACUCUGCCGGUGGUGAUGAACACAACGGCUCCGACCAUACCUCUGAUUUCCAGGCCAACUAAAUCGAACCAACAGAGGGUUUUUCACAUGUCGGAGUUGGAACGAGCCUUUAUCUGGCUGAGUUCUUCGUAGGAGGAAGAAACAAAGGGUGCACAACGAGCAAAGCGAUGAGGGGUAUAGGCCAAGCCAUGGAGGUAUGAUUGUACAUUAGAGAAAGAGGAAGAUUGGGUUUCCAUUAGAACUGACGAAGAAGAAGAAGAAGAAGAAGAUUUGGGUAAAAUUGUGGUAACGGGGGCUAUAGUUUCAUUCAUGAAAUUUACCCAAUUGUUUAAUUAUUUUUUAAAUUUUUUGGUAAAGCACCGGUCAUAGGGAGAAGUAAGGUUCUCCAUUGUGACGGUCAAACCAUCCAGGUAAGCAGUUAACGGUACACGUGUGUUUUUCGUAACGCCUCUUGACGGCUGUUAACGGUGAGUGACUAAUUUAUCACAAACGAUAAUAUUAGUGACAGAUUUGUAAUUUUUGAAACAUUAGUGGUCAAAACGAAAAUUUAUCCAAACAUUAGUGACCAUUGACGUAGUUUACCCUUAUGUUGGUUAAAUUGCAUGAAACCCCAUAUUUCCUUCAUUUAUAGUUUCGUCUGUUUUAUUAUACUUGGAAUUAAAUCACAUGAAUCCUCUCAUGUUUUUGUUUUAAUUUAGAUGGUUAAAUUGCAUGUAAACCCCCACACUUUCCCUGUUUAUAUUUUAGACUUCUAACCUCGUCUGUAACCAACUCAUCGGACUGUAACUUCCGAGGUGGGGUUACCACAAAGGCUGAGGCUGCUCCCACAUCGGUUACAAACAACGAGAAAGAGAGGGCGCGUGAAGUGCAGAGAACAAGGAAGGAAUCGAAAA